CCUCUCUAUAACAUGACCCAGCUGUAAUUUCAGUUGUCGCAUUGGUUUGAUUUUUGGCUUGCUUGUAGGGCGCUGGCACCCGCAUUCAGUGACCCAGAAAAUUUGGCACUGCUGUGAAUAGUUUAGUCGCAAAGUGAAGAUUCACGGGUAAAAAGGCCCAAAAUUCUAGAUAGGUUCUUUUUCAGCUUUCAGCAGCCCUGGGUAAGUUCUUUAGAGAAAUGUGGCUCUUUUUCAUUGUGCUAUUUUCUAUUUCCGGCUACACAACGAGAUGAGGAUGGUCAUUGUCAUUUUCUGAGCUGCCAACGGGCAGAAAGCUAACCAACGAGAUGAGGAUGGUCAUUGUCAUUUUCUAAGCUGCGAACGGGCAGAAAGCUACACAACGAGAUGAGGAUGGUCAAUGUUAUUUUUUGACUUGCGAAAGGGGAGAAAG